GCUAUUAUUGGAGUGGAGAACCAUCCCAUGCACCUCCACGGCUUUGAUUUCUAUGUAUUGGCGCAAGGGUUUGGGAACUUUAACCCUGCCACUGAUACAUUGAAUUACAAUCUUGUCAACCCCCAAAUGCGCAACACUGUUAGCGUACCUGUUGGAGGAUGGGCUGUCAUCAGAUUCGUAGCUAAUAAUCCAGGUUAAUUUUCCAACAUCCAUCAUUUACUGUUUUCUUUUCAACUAGUUUUUGUCAACCUAGUACUCUGGGAAAAGCAAGGAUAAUUUUUUAGUGUUGAAUAAAAUUUUUAAUUUUUAUAGUUUAUAUUUUUAUAAAUUUUAAAGGAUUAAAUGAAAUUUUUAUAAUUUUAAAAAGUUAAAAUAUAAUUUUAUUUUAAUUAAUUUAAAAUUUUAAAAAAUUUAAAGAACUUAAAUGAGAAUUUAUCAUUUUAGGGGCGGGCCCAUGCCCUAGAAUCCCCUCUGCUAGUAUUUGAACUCAAUUGUUUCAAUGCAUCCGAAAUGAACAGGUGUUUGGUUUAUGCAUUGCCACUUUGACGGGCACAUGUCAAUAGGCCUGUCCACUGCCUUCAUUGUUGAGAACGGACCAACUCCCGACACAACCUUGCCUCCCCCGCCAACGGAUCUUCCACAAUGCUAGACAUUUUUUGUUUUAUUUGUAAAACUACCACCCGACCUUCUUUUUGAACGUUGUUCAUUCUUUUCCUUCAAUUUUCUUUUCAUUUUUGUUAUGAAUUUGGAUUUUUCUUAGCGCAACUGUAACAUUUGUUGAUUUAACCUUUUACUGUCAAAAGUCAAAACUCUGUUGUUGUAAUCAUCGUUUCAUUCUGUUUAUAAUAAAUUAAGUUCGUCGCCUAUCAUUGCCAAUCAUUUUUAGUUGCUCGUUCGCCUUUUAUAUUUCCUAAUAUUAUAUUUUUCAUACUAAUUAGAUACACUUACCCUAAUUUUAUCAUUACAAAAGUCAUUAGAAUAACUUUAACAAAAUUGAUAUAUAAUUCAUAAUACAACUCAAUCUUAGAUACUUAAGUUUUUAGUAUCUCAAACUUUAUAAUAUAGAUAAUGUUUCGUUAACGGAUUAUUUUAUAUCACGUUUGGUAAGAGUAUUAUAUACAUAUUUUAAUAUAAAUUAAUAAUAAAUUAAUUUAAUUGGUAAUAUUUAGCCACAUUUAUAAUUUAUUUAUAGCAAAAAGAAAGAAAUUUUUUUGAGUAUUUUGAAAAUAUAUUAUUUUUUACAAACAUUUUUACUUUCUAAUUUUAAAUCUAAAUUUAUGCUAACUAUUAUUUAUUUUAUAUCUAUAUAAUAAAUAAAUCUUAAUUAAAGAAAGAUUCUCUUUAACAGUGGGUCAAGGGAUCAGUGAAUUGAAUAGCUUGAUGAAAGUGAUAUCAAACGGUUAAAUCUUAAAUUGGAAUUUUUUUUAUGGAAAAAAAAGGAAUUGGGACAUUAAUAUCUGACUUUUACUCUAGAAAAACCUGACUUCUAAGAAGUCAAAUGAAUAAAACAAACGAGUGUUGCAAAUUAUUUCACAAUAUUUGAGCCGGUAAAAUAAAAGGACUGACUUAAAUUUUUAAAUUUUAAUGAUGAAAAUUCAAUUCUAAUAUUACUCCAUCUUCAUUACCCUACAAGAAAAAAUUGUAUUUAAUAAUCAAAUCUUGUAUCGGUAUUUUGUGUUGUUGUAUAAUUAAUAAUAUAAUAACAAUAUUAAAUAUUGUUUGUAAAAUUGCAAUAUUUAGAAUGACUUUUGGUUGUUAAUGUUAAAUUUAAUUUUUAGGAUUUAAGAUUAAAAUGAUAUUGUUAAAUAUUAUAAUAUUAGCAAUAACUUUAAAAUAUUAUUAUAUAAUUUAAUUUUUUGCUUAUUAAUCACAACACGAUUAGUUGUUGCGAAUCUUUUUUUUGUUUUGGGAAUAAAAGAUGAAUUUAGCCAAAACUAAAUUAGAUGAGUCCAAGCCAUUCAAGAAUAAUCAUCAUAUAGUAGUUGAGAAACUUCAUCUGGUGGUUGCAUAAAUAUAGAUCUACCUAAAGGUCUUGAGAACGCUAGAGCCGCCAAACCAUCAGCUACUCUAUUGCCUUCUUUGAAGAAAUGUGAAAUUCGAACCCUCCAUGGACGUUGAACAAAAUCCUUUAUUGCUCGUGUCACAGCUGAAUAAUGCUACUCACCUCUAUUAGCUUGGAUUACUUGAAUAGCGUCAAUAUUAUCCAUCUUAAGUAUCAUUUGAUUAAGGUCGAGAUUCCAUACUAUUUGGAGCCCUUUUAGUGUACCCCAAAGUUUAACCAUAAUCACCAAACAACAACCAAUAUUUUUUGAGAAACCAACAACCCAAAACCCAUGAUGAUCACGUAUUAGUCCACCGACUAAAGCAUGCCCAGACCUUUGACAAACUGCACCAUUAGUAUUUACUUUCUACUAACCAUCUUCAGGCAAUGUCCAUUUUAUGAGUCGGCAAAAUCUAACAGUUGUGUGCCUCAAAGGAUACUCCAUCCCAUGAUUGAACUGAAGAUAACUAUCUCACAUCUAUAAGCUUUUCUCCAAAACACUCCCGGUUUCAAUGAAAUCUACAUUAAAAACAUACUUAUUUCUCCUAACCCAAAGUUGCCCACAAAUGUUGCCAAAGAGGGCCUGCCACUCACUAGGAUCACAUGCAAAAUUGGAUUCAAAGAGGUUCUUCUCGAGCCAUUCUUCUAAAUUGAGGCUGAAAAAUACAUGUCUCUUUUCUAUCUUAAUUACUGAGAGUCAUGUUGCCAUUGCUGGGGUAUAAAACCGUAGUAUGUGAUUGAUAGUUUCUGUCAAGCUUUCUCAAAUCGUACAGCUUGCACCAGAAGUAAGGUGUCGUCAAACUCAGUUUUAAUUAGUAAGGAUUUUAUUUUAAAAAACUAGUCAAAUGAAAACACGUACCUUUUGAGGACCCGAAAUAUACCAAAUUCGAUGCUAGAUUUUAUCUUUUCUAGCCCUCUCCACCCCAAAAGUAGCAGCAUAAGCAUAUUUAAUAGAAAACUACCCUUUCUUAUAAUAUAUCCACCCCAAAAAAUCAUCCACGCCAUGGAUUGAUGGGGGCUUGUAUGCUGAUAUGCUCAAAAUAACUGGAGGUGGAAAGAUCAAAUUUAUCACCAACCAAUUGCAAACCCCACUUGGCAUAACCAUAUCUUUUAUGAGAAUAUGCUCAUCAGAAAUGUAUUCAGUUGUGUAUAUAUAUCAAUUAGAGGACCCCAAUCCUUAACCCAUUUAUCUCUCUAAAAGUCAACAAUUAUGCCAUUCCCAAUAUUCCAUAUAACACCAUCUCGAACUUUACUUCAAACACUACAAAUCCCCUUCCAUAAGCGUGAAGCAUUGCCCUUAUAUAAGGUAAUAGGUAAGCUCACUUUCCAUUUAUAUUUUGCUCUAAACAUUUGCGCCCAUAAUUGAUCCGACUUCUUAAUGAGAUUAAAUCCAAGUUUCAUAAGGAAAGCGUUAUUCAGGCAGUCAAAUUUCUUGAAUCCAAGACCACCAUUCUUCAUUUCUUUAUAGAGAUCCUCCCAUUUAACUAGAUUUAUCCCUUUUUUUAUCCUUGUGUCCCCCCAAGAAAAGUUACAAAUAAUCUCCUCCAUUUCAUAACAAACUCCUUUCAGGAUAAUCGUCAAUUGCAUAGCAUAAAUAGGAAUAGCAGGUAAAACCACUUUAGCCAAAGUAAUUCUACCAGGUAAGGACAACAAUUUAGCCUUCCAACUUGCUAAUAUUUUCCUCAUAUUUUCGACGAUAUACUGAAAUGUAUCUUUUGUAACUCGUUGAUGUAGGAGCGAAACCCUAAUAUAUUUUCCCAAAUUGUCUACAUGAGAAAAACCAAGACCAUAGUCGAUAUCCACCUUUAACUUACAAGGAAUAUUUUUUUUAGAACAAAUAUGAGUUUUUUAGCAUUAACACGAAAGCAGACACAGAAGCUUUCAAGCACUCUUUUCAUGAUCAACAUCUGGACAAUAAACGCCUCACCAAAUAAAAGUAGAUAAUUUAUAAAAAAGAGGUGAGAGAUACCUAGUCCAUCCUUUGAAAGCUUUAUAGACUUCCACCCCUUUUUGCACUUCAACAUUAAUAAGUUGAGCCAAUCGCUCCAUAUAGAGAAAAAAAAGGUAGGGCGAAAUAAGGUCACCUUACUUUAUACCUCUCGACAGAGUAAAAACUUCUAAAAGAUUCUCAUUCCAUACAACUUGCAUAGUUGAUGAGCUAACACAAUGCAUAAUAACUUGUUGGAUGUUACUUGGAAUACCGAUGUCAAUUAACGUUUCCCCAAUGAAACUCCAAUCUUGUCUGUCAUAUGUUUUUUCUAGAUCGAAUUUAUAACCAUCCAUCCUUUCUUCCCAAUUGUCUUGCACAUUGAGUGAAUGAUCUAUUGAGCUACAAUAAUAUUAUCCGUUAUACUUUUGCCAGGGAUAAAACUUGAUCGAUUCAGAAGAACUUAUUUAUACUUUAAAGGCUUCAAUCUAUUUACAAUAAUUUUUGUCACAAUUUUGUAGAGCACCAUACAGAAACUAAUGGGAUAAAAUUGGGAUAGACUUUCAAGAUUCUCUAUUUUCAAGAUCAGUACAAAUAAGGUACGAUUAAUCCAACCUUCAAUACUACCAUUAUUCCUAAUAUUCUUCACAAAAUCAUAGAGACUUUGUCCAAUCACCACCCAUUUUUUUGGUAGAAGAUUGUAUGAAACCCAUCAAUUUCUAGAGCUUUCAAAGGAGCCAUAUCAAACACAACCUUUUAGAUUUCCUCAUUCAUGGUAAUGGCCUUCAAGGAAUCACACUUAGCUUCGGUCAUCUUAUAAAGCAACCCUUAUUGGAUAUAUCCAGUAUCCAGUAGCCUUUCUUUUGUGAAGAGAGCUUUGUAAAACUUCGUAGCCAAUUGCUGUAACACUUGAGGGUCACCAUACCAACUAUCGCCCCUCAAUUUUAACACAAUGAUUUAAUUAGACCUCCUUCUAAUAAUAGUGCUAGCAUGAAAAGAAUUACUGUUACAGUCACCAUCACACACCCAUUUACAACGUGCCUUUUAUUACCAAACACUCUCCUCUUAGGUAAGGACUUCCUCCAGCUCAAUUUUUAGUUGUUUCUCAAACUUAAUAAGGAAGUUUGAGGGAUACUUGUCAAGUCUUUUUUCAAUGCCCUUAAGCCUAGCCAUAAACUCCCUUUUCUUAUUCCCAAUAUGAUCAAAAGAGCUAACUUUCCACUCUUUGCUUUAGAGUUAAAUUUCUCGAUAUUUGCCACCACUUCUUCGCCCAAUGGCCAAGAAUUAUUCAAGACCAAAUCAAACUAGUCAUGUUCCAACCAAGCAACAAUGAAUCUAAAUGGUCUUUUAUUAUUGGAGAGGACCUAAACCCUAGUAAAGACAUAAAUCGGUCUAUAGUUUGACCCAAUACGUUAAAGAUAGGCCAUAGGAAAAUCAAGAAAUGAUCCAUUUAAUCAGCAUUCAUUUUUAGACGUUGAAAAAGCGAACCUCGCUAUAAGUGAAGGUCAACCCUUUGUAACCCAUAUAAAACAACCCAUAAUCAAACACAAAAUUCUAGAUAAGACAACCAAUACCCAUACGAGUCCCUGCACCUCAUUUCCUUUCUUUGCUGGACAUAUUAGCAUUAAAAUCCCCACGAGCAACCACGGUACAUUCCUUUGGGGAAUCAAUGAUGGUAAAUGGUUCCACAAAUACUUGCAUUUUACUGCGUUAGGACUUGCAUAAACUAUGGUAAACAAAAUACUUUGUUUCAUACAUUGCCUGAAACACCAGCAAUAAAUGAACUGGGUUGAAACUUCGACAACAUCUAUCAUCAUUUUCUCCUUUCAGAGCAUCCAAAUACCAACUGAAAACCCCUUUGCUUCAACCCUGUAUGAACAAUCGUAAGUAGUUCUCUAUAUAUCCUCAUCAACUUUCUUUGUACUUACUCUGAUUUUCAUCAACACUAAAACAUCUGGUUUUUGUGUCUGCAAAAUAUUUUUUAAAACAAUACUAAAUUCAAGGCUAGUAGCCCCUUGAUAAUCCAACAUACAAUUUUAAUAUCCAUAAAACCAAAAUAAACAAAAAAGAAGCAUUUAUUGCCCCAUUGACAUACGAUCUGCUAUAGGAGUCUCCCCCCCGCCUUGCUUGACUACCUUAUCCUGGUGAAUCGAAUCUUUCCCAAUCGGAUCUUCCAUCAAAUUCUCUAAACCCAAGUUAACCCUCCCCACAGUCGCCACUUUCAUAGGUAUCUCAAGUUCAUCUUCUAAAUCAAGAGCUUUAUUUGAAUCAUCAAGCUCUUUCGAGAGAGAGAGUAAACUACUAUGUUAAAAUAGUAUUUGAAGGUGGUUUUUGUUCUAAUCUCAUACACACUUUAUACCCCAUUUGAUAAUCUCUUUCAUGGAUAAAGCUUUAUUUUUUAUUGUUGUUGAGCCUUUAGUUUUGCAUGGUCCAUGCAUCCCUUGUGCAGGUUCAUUCUUACCACUUCCUUCCUCAAUUGAAACAACUCUAUGGCACGUGCUUGGGAGGAUUGUAUUUUUCUCAACAAUAAUUGGGUCGUUACCUUCCCAAUGGAUUGAUUUUAAACCACUUGGUCCACGUAUCCACUUCUCAACACAACCCUUUAACACAGAUGGCCCAUUCACUCCACUUGUCCCAAUAUUACUUUGGUCCACCUUCAACCUUUCAUUCAUUACUUAAUCAACAACCACUUCUUUGUUUUUUUUUCUAAUCCCAUAUUUUCCGUGAUCAACCCCUCUUUUCCUUGGUUUCUUUUAUUUUUUUCAACCUUCUUACCAUUUUCAUCUCCCUUAAUAGUCGCAUUAUUUUCACCCCUGUAAUUUUACACUUCCUUAAAUCUUAGAUCUUCCAAAUCAACAAGAAUAUCAAAUCGAGUAUUGUUCGGAGAUAUCUUUUCACCAGUAGAACUCUUUCCAUUAUUAAUUACUUUUAUUUUUUUAGCUGAUCGACAUUUUUAGCCUGACACUUACAUGCAAAGUCCAAAACAGUUUUGUCUAGUCGCAAUCUUCUAGCCAGAUGGCGAUGAUGGUUGUGAAACAGUAGCAGUGCCCCUUGCCAUCUCCGUUUCUUUAACCUUUAAUGGGCAGGUUUCCAGAAUAUGACCAUAGCACCCACACUUGUAGCAUAUCAAUGGUAGCACCUCGUACUCAACACAAUAUGGUACAGCAUUAAUGCCAACAAACACUUUGUUAUAGGCCAAAUUUGGGCCAGUUCACAUCACACAAAGCCCAAAUACAAAAAUAACCCACCUAAAUACCAACUAACCCAUAACCCAAUUAUCCCUUAACCCAUCAACUAACAGCCCAAAUCCCACCAAAACCCUUAGCCUAUUUUAACCCUAACCUAUUCCCAACAAAUCAGAAAACAGAAAAUUAAAAAAAAACCUACUCCCACUUACCUCUGCCGACUCAGUCUCUGCCAACACCAUUCCCUGGCGCCACCUGCCCCAAGGUCACGUCUACCACCACCGUCUCCAUCAGCAACUUGCACCUGCAACCAUUGAAAAAACGAAAAGACAGAAAACAAUAGAAAAAUAGCUUGUAGAUGGCUAUAAAAGCCGAUUAAAAUGAUUUGUAAGGGGUUUGAAUUCUUUUCAAUACACGCAUAUAUUUUCAAAGAAAAGCAGUAGAUAGAGCAAGAAAAUCGAUUGAAAUCAGAGAAUCAAAGCAUUAACAAUCAAAAAAAUAAAAACCCAAGGUGAUUCUAUUUUGUUUUAACUACUGUUUUAGAUUGAUUUUUGCACAAACAUAUAUUAAAUAAAUACUAAAUAUUUAAGAAUAUAAUACAAAAAAGAUAAUAAAAAAAACUAAAAAAAUUGAACCUUUUGAACUUCCGGCCACCGCGUACGGUAGCCGGCGCCGGAGACGGACGGUGGCCGACGAUUGGCCGGUGACCGGCCCCACCCUGGCCGGAAUCCCUCUCUCCUUUCUCCCCUCUCUCUUUUUUCUUUUUUUUUUCUUCUUCUGCUGUUAC
rnacentral:lncRNA from 1 species